rnacentral:rRNA from 1 species
CGCGAAGAACCUUACCAGGUCUUGACAUACUCAUAAAGGCUCCAGAGAUGGAGAGAUAGAUAUAUGGGAUACAGGUGGUGCAUGGUUGUCGUCAGCUCGUGUCGUGAGAUGUUGGGUUAAGUCCCGCAACGAGCGCAACCCUUAUCGUUAGUUACCAUCAUUAAGUUGGGGACUCUAGCGAGACUGCCAGUGACAAGCUGGAGGAAGGCGGGGAUGACGUCAAAUCAUCAUGCCCCUUAUGACCUGGGCUACACACGUGCUACAAUGGAUGGAGCAGAGGGAAGCGAAGCCGCGAGGUGGAGCGAAACCCAGAAAACCAUUCUCAGUUCGGAUUGUAGUCUGCAACUCGACUACAUGAAGUUGGAAUCGCUAGUAAUCGCGAAUCAGCAUGUCGCGGUGAAUACGUUCUCGGGCCUUGUACACACCGCCCGUCACACCAUGAGAGUUGAUAACACCCGAAGCCGGUGGCCUAACCGCAAGGAGGGAGCUGUCUAAGGUGGGAUUGAUGAUUGGGGUGAAGUCGUAACAAGGUAGCCGUAAGCUUCACAAUCGAAUUC